rnacentral:lncRNA from 1 species
UCCUGGGGAGAGGUGAGGAUGAGCAGGUGGGGACCAAAGUCUGUUUGCAAAUCUGAAUUGCUUCAAAAUUACAGUGGGAUAUAUACAUAAAUACAACAGAAAGUCAUUGCCAUACAACUGCCGAUUAUUAUCAUUUUUUCUUUCUUGCCUGGUUUUGACAGACACCUGUGCUUCUGGUGAACUUUUCCCCAUUAGUUUUGCCACCUUUAUCAUCCCGCACUGCCUCUCCCUCAGCUGAUGGCAGUGAAGUGUUUCCGAACCUGCUUCACCUGCACAGAGAAGCUCCACCAGCACAACAAAGCAGUAAAACGUGGGGCUGGGGAAAUGCAUUCCUCUGGCUGCCUUCUCAGAGCACAGAGCUCCUGGGUUUGAACCUUUAGUCCUCCAGUCAUUUCCUGGUGUGUGUAAUUACAACUGUUCCUGAAAUACAAGGCAAAACAAAAGAAGGAUGAUUUCUGCCAAGUAAAUCACAUUGUUAUGUCAGUUACGCAUGUCUGCCUCAAAGAGGGCCAUUAGGGCUUGAUGUGGGUUCCUAUAAAGCUGUCACACCUCCCCAAAUAACUGGGAAGAGAGCAGAAUCCAAACCGAGAGCACCACCAGCUCGAUCACACUGCUUCUAUUUGUGCCCAUCCCUGUGAGUCCGUCACAAAACAAGAUGACUGCAGGAUCCAUUUUCUUCCUGCAUCCCCAGGUGCAUGCCUCGCAGCACCUCUCCGGCCAGUGCUUUUGUUCAUCCCGAGCCAUGAACCCAGUGCAGCUGUAGGAGAGCUGCUCUGCCCCAUCCAAUCCAUCAGUGCCAGAGGAGACGCUUGGCAAAGGCUCAUCUGGCUCCUGGCACACCACCUCGGUAGCACUCGAUGUCACCCUCCCUGGCAUGGGCACUGUGGGGUUUGUUGAGUUUGUGUAAUGAUGGCAAGACCUCUGGGAUGCCUGCUACUCUGAGGGGAUUCACUGAACUAUAUAGGUAUCUUUGGAUUUCUUCCCAACUUGGGUUUCCCGUUUUUCUCAGAUU